AUAAUUGAACAAGAUAAAGAACUGAAUAUCAUCAAAAAAAGAAAAGAGUAUAUUGAAAGGAGACUAGAGACACCAGGUAUAGUACUAACUUAAAGCAUGUAUUAAAGUAAUGUGGAGUUGAUAAUCAUUUGAACAAUCAG